AACGAACGCUGGCGGCGUGCCUAACACAUGCAAGUCGAACGGAAUUUGAGAGCUUGCUCUUAAAUUUAGUGGCGCACGGGUGAGUAACGCGUAGAUAAUCUGCCUGACGAUCUGGGAUAACACUUCGAAAGAGGUGCUAAUACCGGAUAAGCCCACGGAGUCUUUGGAUUCUGCGGGAAAAGGGGGGGACCUUCGGGCCUUCUGUCGUCAGAUGAGUCUGCGUACCAUUAGCUAGUUGGUAGGGUAAUGGCCUACCAAGGCGACGAUGGUUAGCGGGGCUGAGAGGAUGAUCAGCCACACUGGAACUGGGACACGGUCCAGACGCCUACGGGAGGUAGCAGUGGGGAAUUUUGCGCAAUGGGCGAAAGCCGGACGCAGCAACGCCGCGUGAGUGAUGAAGGCUUUCGGGUCGUAAAGCUCUGUCGAGGGGAAAGAAGUGUACUUUGGCUAAUAUCCAUUGUACUUGACGGUACCCCUAAAGGAAGCACCGGCUAACUCCGUGCCAGCCGCCGCCGUAACAC
rnacentral:rRNA from 1 species